UACGGAGGAUCCAAGCGUUAUCCGGAUUUAUUGGGUUUAAAGGGUGCGUAGGCGGACUUGUAAGUCAGUGGUGAAAGCCUGCAGCUUAACUGCAGAACUGCCAUUGAUACUGCUGGUCUUGAGUACAGUUGAGGUGGGCGGAAUGUGUCAUGUAGCGGUGAAAUGCUUAGAUAUGACACAGAACACCGAUUGCGAAGGCAGCUCGCUAAACUGUAACUGACGCUGAGGCACGAAAGCGUGGGUAGCAAACAGG
rnacentral:rRNA from 2 species